UGGGGAAUAUUGCACAAUGGGGGAAACCCUGAUGCAGCGACGCCGCGUGAGCGAAGAAGGUUCUCGAAUCGUAAAGCUCUGUCCUAUGGGAAGAUAAUGACGGUACCAUAGGAGGAAGCCUCGGCUAACUACGUGCCAGCAGCCGCGGUAAUACGUAGGGGGCAAGCGUUGUCCGGAAUCACUGGGCGGAAAGGGUUCGCAGGCGGAAAUGCAAGUCAGUUGUGAAAGGCAGAGGCUCAACCUCUGUAAGCAAUUGAAACUGUAGUUCUUGAGAUGUGGGGAGGCAAGUGGAAUUCCUAGUGUAGCGGUGAAAUGCGUAGAUAUUAGGAAGAAUACCGGUGGCGAGGGCGACUUGCUGGACACAAAAUGACGCUGAGGAACGAAAGCGUGGGUAGCAAACAGG
rnacentral:rRNA from 1 species